AUUAGGUGGCCCUAGAGACACACAACCGCGUGUUUGAAUGACCCUGAUUCAGUGUGACCUGCUCCUUUUAAGUUGGGCUCAAAACGCAUCAAGGUUUGGACGCUUUAAGCUUCAUUCAUUCUUUUUAAAUCAACAGAGGACUAUUUUAAUUAGGACAGAUUUAUUUUUGACGCAAAAAUAACGUUGAUUGGACUUGUCGGCUACCUGAUGAUUAGUUGGCCACCGUCACGUGCUUGGCGCUACCUUACUUUUUCUUGAAUGGGUCACGUCAGCGGCGCGCGCCUGGGAGCGCACUCUCUCCCGGAUCUGGUCACAGACGCGCUCUGGCUCUGCGAGGAGCAAGGCGAGCCGUGCUGCCACAUGUGAGUGACAUUUGAACCACGGAGCGUUUCUGUGUAAUUUCUGAUCUUGAGUUACUCGUCAUGGCCUCACUAUUCUGUUUUUUGACGGCACAGAGGAUCUCCUUUGAUUUGGAUUUUACGCAAUGAAGUCAUUCAUUGUAUACGAUGACUGGAUUUAUGAUCAAAUUCUCAAGUUAAAGCCACGGGCGGCUACGACUUUUAAGAGGAUUCCUGGAAUUAUCAUGUCCAGCCACAACAACAUGGAAUGUCCUGGGAAUGAAGUGAAAUAAAAUUCUCAAAGUCAGGGGCUGAACGUUGAGCCUCACGUCUCAGCUGUGAUCAUGUUUUAAAAGACACAAAGAUGGAGAGUGACCAGGCAGAGACGACAGGAGCGAUUGUCCUGGCGCUGCCUCUCUGAUGUGAUGUAGCCCCUUGUAACC
rnacentral:lncRNA from 1 species